GUGUCAGCCGCCGCGGUAAUACGUAAGGACCGAGCGUUGUCCGGAAUCAUUGGGCGUAAAGGGUACGUAGGCGGGUCAUUAAGUUAGAAGUCAAAGGCUAUAGCUCAACUAUAGUAAGCUUCUAAAACUGGAGACCUUGAGUAAUGGAAGGGAAAGUGGAAUUCCUAGUGUAGCGGUGGAAUGCGCAGAUAUUAGGAGGAAUACCGGUGGCGAAGGCGACUUUCUGGCCAUUAACUGACGCUGAGGCUCGAAAGCGUGGGGAGCAAACAGGAUUAGAAACCCCCGUAGUCC
rnacentral:rRNA from 1 species